rnacentral:lncRNA from 10 species
UUUGUUUCGUUUUGUUUUGUUUUGAGACAGUUUCGCUCUGUCGCCCAGGCUGGAGUGCAGUGGCACAAUCUCGGUUCACUGCAACCUCUGCCUCCCGGGUUCAAGCAGUUCUCUUGCCUCAGCCUCCCAAGUAACUGGUACUACAGUUUGUCCUCGGCUGUUACAGAGAAUUGAUACAAAAAAUGAUCAUGUGAAGAAUUUGCAUCUUCUGCAGAACUACCGGUAUCAGUCAGCAGUAGGAGAUUGUAUAAAUUCAGCCUGAGAUUCCAGAAUAUUCUGUGUAUUGACCACCACAGCAAGAAGAAAAAGUCCAUGUAGGACUGAAAUGUAAGUCUUACGAUUGCUCAACCUGGUCUCUCUACCAUAACACCUUUGAAUUGAGUUAUCUCACAAAUAAUAAUUUCCAUGUCUACUUGAAGUGGAUUUGUUUAUAGAGCAUUGCUUUCAUUAAUUCAUUCUGCAGCUGCUGAGUGCUAGGGUAAGCCAGGCUUUCUCCCUUGCCUGGGGAUGCAGCAGUGAACAAAGUGGACAUGAUCCUCCUCUCUUGAGUUUUAGUCUGUGGGCCAGGAGUUGGGGGGUAGGAGAGGAAACUAGAGGAGCAGGGUCAUUUCCUCUGGGGGUUGAGAAUGAUGAAGAUGAAAAGCAUAAUGCUGGGGGAGACAGAGACUUGUUGGUGUGUGGGUGUGGGGCCACUUCAGGAAGAGUCUUCAGGGGGCCUUUCUGAAGAGCUGGCAUUGACGCAGUACCUGAAGGAGGAAGCCAGUAACCAUUGAGGGGUUAGAGCCUUUGGGUAAGAGGGAACCAUAACAGAAGACAUACUGAGGCUGUGGGAAUGGACUUGGCUUAUUUGAGGAAGCAAAGGAAGGUUUGCAUGACUAGAGUGGGGGCCCUCAGAGAGUAGUGGAUCCUGGCUAGGAAUGUGGCCUGUGACUUACUUCUCACAGUAAGUAAGAAGUCCUCUUCUCCAGGGACCUUUGUGUGAGCCAUGGCUAGUGUGGUCUGGUGGGUUCCAGCACUAGCCCUAGCACUCACUCCAUCCCAAUCUUAGGAAAACACGUCCCUG